rnacentral:rRNA from 1 species
CAGUCGCCGCGGUAAUACGUAGGUGGCAAGCGUUGUCCAGAAUUAUUGGGCGUAAAGGGCUCGCAGGCGGUUUCUUAAGUCUGAUGUGAAAGCCCCCGGCUCAACCGGGGAGGGUCAUUGGAAACUGGGAAACUUGAGUGCAGAAGAGGAGAGUGGAAUUCCACGUGUAGCGGUGAAAUGCGUAGAGAUGUGGAGGAACACCAGUGGCGAAGGCGACUCUCUGGUCUGUAACUGACGCUGAGGAGCGAAAGCGUGGGGAGCGAACAGGAUUAGAUACCCGCGUAGCCCUGUCUCUUAUACC